CCUACGGGUGGCAGCAGUGAGGAAUAUUGGUCAAUGGGCGGGAGCCUGAACCAGCCAAGCCGCGUGAGGGAAGAAGGUACAGCGUAUUGUAAACCUCUUUUGUCAGGGAACAAAGGCGGGGACUAGUCCCCGGAUGAGGGUACCUGAAGAAAAAGCAUCGGCUAACUCCGUGCCAGCAGCCGCGGUAAUACGGAGGAUGCGAGCGGUAUAGGGAUUUAUGGGGUUAAAAGGGUGCGCAGGCGGCCUGUUAGGUCAGCGGUAAAAGCACGGGGCUAAACCCCGGCGGGCCGUUGAAACUGGCGGGCUGGAGUUGGAGAGAGGUACGCGGAAGUCGCGGUGGAGCGGUGAAAUGCUUAGAUAUCGCGCAGAACCCCGAUUGCGAAGGCAGCGUACCGGCUCCACACUGACGCUGAGGCACGAAAGCGUGGGUAUCGAACAGGAUUAGAUACCCCAGUAGUC
rnacentral:rRNA from 1 species